GAUGGAGUGACAAGAGGAGGAAAAGAGAAAGAGAAAACAGAAAAACCAUGACAGUGAGAGGACAUGUGUUCCCUACUUCCAUUUAAUUUAAUUGUUUUCAAUUUUUAGUCAAAUUAUUGUUAUUCAAGUGACAAGCAGCUUAUGCCCGCUUAUGUUAUCACGUGAUCUGUCUCUGGAGGCACGUGUACCUGGAAUUGUUUUUUAAAGUUUCUUUUAUGUCCAUAAAGCAUAGUUUGUUGGGGUAAACAAAGGGUUACAUCAGACAGGCUAGAAUGGAAAAUAAGUAUAGUGAAAACUAUGGCAAAUCAAGGAAAAAUUAGUUGGGUCAAAAGCAUCCGAAAUUCUUUGUAAGCACUGGGUGGCUGGGAUGGAGGCAUUGCAGCAGUUUAUUAACAAUAAUAUCUAAGACAAGUGAAAAUAUCUACUGAAAGCAAAUUAUUUCUCACAGAAUGCAUGUUGAUUAUUAGCAAUGACAUGUGAAUGACAGAUUAUUAUUCAUGAAUUCAAGAACUGUCUCCACACUCUUAUUAAAAUCAACUCUUAUUAUUCUUAUUUUACAUGUUAAAAUGAAAUAACACAUUUGCUUUAUUAUUUAAUAAGGUGCACAAUAUGAAUUGGUCAAAUAUUUAAGAAUAAUAUUACGAUUUCAGUUACUUCUUGUCAGUUUGUAUUAUUGCUCCAGUAGAACAAUAUUUACCCAAGUCACAAGUAAACUAUAAGUGGAAUUUUAUAUCCACUAUUAAUGAAGAACAUGGUGUUCUGCUUUUUAAUAUAAAUAUAUAACUUAUAUAAAUAUAAUUAUCUAAGGAUAUUGCCUAGUCUUAACUGAAGAUGCAAUUUUGCUGUAUUUUCUUUUAUGUGUAUAUGAGGAUGUCUGUAUGGGGAUGUCUGCAUGUGAGUUCAAAUGCCCACUGAAAUCUGAGUUGUUGGACCCAGGGAGCCUAAGUAACAGGCAAUUCUGAGCAGCCUGGCAAGAGUGCUAGAAACCAAACUGAGUAGGCUCUUAAUUACCAAGUUACCUCUCCUACCUCCAGGAUAUUCAAUUAAAAAUUGCAAAUUCUUCCAAGGAUCUUCUUAAAUAUCUUUUAGAGAUUUUUUUUCAGUGAAAACUGAAGAGAGUAACAACUGAAAUAUUUUUCUGAAAUGCUCAAUUGCAUUGCCUCCUUUUAUAUUUGUGGUAUUGAUGAUGCUACUGUUAUCAAAUCAUUACUGUGCACCUGACAAUAUGUAACCUCCAGAGCAUAUUUCAGAAAAUAUAUUCACAGACUUUUACUAACAUUAUUAGCCAUGCAGGUGGUACCAUGACCCUUUAUUUACAAGAAAAAUGUAUGAGUGCUUAAAAGAUUUAUCCUUCAGUUUUAUAAUAAAAGAAGUUGAGUUAAAUCUUAAUCCAUGGUCUUUGAAUGGUUUAUUUAAUCCUUUAAAAUAUAAUACAAUUCAUUUAACAUGGCUAUAAAAUUGACCUUUUACUGGAAAUUACGGUCUAAAUUUAAAAUCAUUUGUUUUCUAUAGAACUUUCAUAACUUUCUAAUGUCAUUGGGCUUCUUAGCAGAUCUUAUUCUCACAUCAACGUAAAUGGGUUUGGAGGGCCCUUAUAUGUAAGAAAAAUUUAAUCCCAUAUGUCAAUAAAUAGAUUAUUACAUCAUUAUAAUACUGAAUACCUCUUUGUUUAAUGCUGAUUGUGAAAAUUGAAAUAGAACUUUAUGUUAUUUAAUCAGAAAGGUAUUAGAUUAUGGUAUGGUCUGAGGAACUUGCAUUAAGAGAAAUAUUUGCACAUCUUAGAAUCUAACUGCUGAAGUGGAAAAACAAGACAAGAUGCUGUUUUCCCUUGAUGCUCUCUUUCUAGAGAAUAGUAUUCAUGGGCCAACUCCAAACAACUGUGUACACCAAAAGUAAAUUGGUAAAUGUUUACAGUUAUCAGUAUUUUGCAGGUACACUUAUAGUAUAUGACAAAACAAACAAAAGCAAGAACUGAGUUGAUG
rnacentral:lncRNA from 1 species